CCCAUCCUGAAAGCAGCCCUGCCUGGACCCCGAGCUGCGCGCGCAGCCUGCCUCCCGCCCGCCCUUUGCAAGCGCGGUAGCAGCCGCCGCCAUGCAGGUUUCCCAAAGGGCUUUCCUUGGGUGAAUCCCCCCGCUGCUCUCCUCCUCCUCCUCCUCCGGGCUACCUCCCCUGCCAGCUCUGCUUUGCAUUUGAAUGGGAGACUGCCUGGGGGCCUGACCUGCGAGAGAUCCCCCUGCGGGGCUGAUGGGCCCUAGAUGCUCGUCCCUAGACUAGCCUCGUCUUGGCCUGCAGGGGGACCCAGCUUCAAUGCCUGGCAGCCUCUCCAGCUAGGUCCAGUCAGUAUCUUUGAGCCUUACCUGCCACGCUGGCCUCCUGGGAGGAAAAGAUGCUCCAAAAGCAGCACUCUGGCCUGGAGGUCGCAGGGACACAUGCGCCAACUCCGUGUCUUCUUGCCCAGUUUGCCACGCAGCGUUGUCGAGGGGACAGAAUGGAAGAAGCAUGAAGCCUCUUCCACUCAAGGCAGCCAGCAUCUUAGAGUGUAUGCAGCCCAAGAAAAUAGUUGCGCGACUAAAGAAGCUUGAAGCCUCCGACACGCGUGAAGCGUGUUCCCUAAAUUGCAGAAUACAAGGUGUCUGUGGUAUUGUGUCUGUUCUUGGCAAUUCCCCCAAAGCUGCUAACACGCAUGAAGCGUGUUCUAUUCAAGGCAGCCAGCAUUUUAGAGAUGCUGCUGCCGCCUCCUAGAGCUGGAGUUUUGUGUUGUGAUUUGUUUGUUGUGUUGUAUGUGCUCUUCCUGGACGUUUUUCUGUGUUGUGUUAUGUUGUGUUGUGAGCUGCCCAGAGGACUAUUUGUUCUGGGGUGGCGGCUCACAAAUGAAGUGUGUGACGAUGAUGAUGAUGAUGAUGAUGAUGAUGAUGAUGAUGAUGAUGAUGACUGGGACAAGAGAGAAGCCUGAAGCUUCUACGCAGCCCCUGGGUUGUGGUUUGGUUUGGCUUGCCUUGUGUGUCUGUGUCGUUGGCUCCUUUCAUGUCUUCUGUGACGUUGCCUCCGUUGGUUGUUCCUUGAAACCUGUUGGAAAAGAGCAAGUUGUGCCACUUAUUCCAGAGUGGGGGCAAUGUGGCGUUUUUUCAUCUUAGGAGGAUUUUGCCAAAGGAUUGCAUAUUUGAUUUCGGGGAUAACGUACUGUUCAGGUUUGUAUUAUCUUAGGUGACUUCAAUGGCUAAGAGAUAUUGGAGGAACGUUGGGGCUACCCUUUCUUCAGUCCUCUGAGGAAAGGUCUCGUCACAAAAUGCAAUGAUACAGCUAGGUGACUCUGGGCCAGACACUUCUCUCUCUCAGCAUAGCCUACUUCACAGGGUUGUUGUGAGAAAGAAACCUAAGUAUGUAGUACACCUCUCUGGGCCCAGUCCUCUGAGGAAAGGUCUCAUCACAAAAUGCAAUGAUACAACUAGGGAGUCUAUUCUGGUAGAUUUUCUCCUAUACAAUUAGCAUUCUCUUUUUUGAGCCUUACCUGCCACGCUGGCCUCCUGGGAGGAAAAGAUGCUCCAAAAGCAGCACUCUGGCCUGGAGGUCGCAGGGACACAUGCGCCAACUCCGUGUCUUCUUGCCCAGUUUGCCACGCAGCGUUGUCGAGGGGACAGAAUGGAAGAAGCAUGAAGCCUCUUCCACUCAAGGCAGCCAGCAUCUUAGAGUGUAUGCAGCCCAAGAAAAUAGUUGCGCGACUAAAGAAGCUUGAAGCCUCCGACACGCGUGAAGCGUGUUCCCUAAAUUGCAGAAUACAAGGUGUCUGUGGUAUUGUGUCUGUUCUUGGCAAUUCCCCCAAAGCUGCUAACACGCAUGAAGCGUGUUCUAUUCAAGGCAGCCAGCAUUUUAGAGAUGCUGCUGCCGCCUCCUAGAGCUGGAGUUUUGUGUUGUGAUUUGUUUGUUGUGUUGUAUGUGCUCUUCCUGGACGUUUUUCUGUGUUGUGUUAUGUUGUGUUGUGAGCUGCCCAGAGGACUAUUUGUUCUGGGGUGGCGGCUCACAAAUGAAGUGUGUGACGAUGAUGAUGAUGAUGAUGAUGAUGAUGACUGGGACAAGAGAGAAGCCUGAAGCUUCUACGCAGCCCCUGGGUUGUGGUUUGGUUUGGUUUGGCUUGCCUUGUGUGUCUGUGUCGUUGGCUCCUUUCAUGUCUUCUGUGACGUUGCCUCCGUUGGUUGUUCCUUGAAACCUGUUGGAAAAGAGCAAGUUGUGCCACUUAUUCCAGAGUGGGGGCAAUGUGGCGUUUUUUUCAUCUUAGGAGGAUUUUGCCAAAGGAUUGCAUAUUUGAUUUCGGGGAUAACGUACUGUUCAGGUUUGUAUUAUCUUAGGUGACUUCAAUGGCUAAGAGAUAUUGGAGGAACGUUGGGGCUACCCUUUCUUCAGUCCUCUGAGGAAAGGUCUCAUCACAAAAUGCAAUGAUACAACUAGGGAGUCUAUUCUGGUAGAUUUUCUCCUAUACAAUUAGCAUUCUCUUUUUUGAGCCUUACCUGCCACGCUGGCCUCCUGGGAGGAAAAGAUGCUCCAAAAGCAGCACUCUGGCCUGGAGGUCGCAGGGACACAUGCGCCAACUCCGUGUCUUCUUGCCCAGUUUGCCACGCAGCGUUGUCGAGGGGACAGAAUGGAAGAAGCAUGAAGCCUCUUCCACUCAAGGCAGCCAGCAUCUUAGAGUGUAUGCAGCCCAAGAAAAUAGUUGCGCGACUAAAGAAGCUUGAAGCCUCCGACACGCGUGAAGCGUGUUCCCUAAAUUGCAGAAUACAAGGUGUCUGUGGUA